UCAGUAACUGAUUUGUGUGGACGAUCUGUCACACCGGAACUGCGGCGCGGUCCCAGACUCCUACGGGAGGCAGCAGUGGGGACUAUUGGACACUGGGAGAAAGCCUGAUCCAGCCAUGCUGCGUGUGUGAAGAAGGUCUUCCGAUUGUAAAGCACUUUAAGUUGGGAGGAAGGGCAGUAAAAAAAAUACCGUGCUGUUUUGACGUUACCAACAGAAUCAGCACCGGCUAACUUUGUGCCAGCAGUCGUGGUAAUACGAAGGGUGCAAGCGUUAAUCGGAAUUACUGGGCGUAAAGCGCGCGUUGGUGGUUCAGCUAGUUGGAUGUGAAAUCCCCGGGCUCAACCUGGGAAGUGCAUCCAAAACUACUGAGCUAGAGUACGGUAGAGGGUGGUCGAAUUUCCUGUGUAGCGGUGAAUUGCGUAGAUAUAGGAAGGAACACCAGUGGUGAAGGCGACCACCUGGACUGAUACUGACACUGAGGUGCGAAAUGUUUAAAGGGGAACAGGAUUAGAUACCCUGGUAGUCCAGGCCUUCUUAAAGGGGCUAGUCGUUGGGAUCUUGAGAUAUUGGGGCGCAGCUAACGCGAUAAGUUGACUGCUUGG
rnacentral:rRNA from 1 species